AACGAAAACAGCUGCAAAGGAAAGAUA
rnacentral:sRNA from 1 species